rnacentral:misc_RNA from 1 species
GAGCCCCUCUCUUUCUCCUUCCCUCUGUGUCUGUGUGAGAGAUAGACUUUUAAAGAGAGACAGAAAGAGAUCGAAGUGCCUCACUUGGAUCUAUAUAUAAAUCUUGCCUUCUUUAUAUAUCUACCAAUAUCUCUAUCAUCUAUCAAAUAUGAGGAUUCGCAAGAACGCAAAACUCUCCUCCCUCGUGUUCUCGCACGCUUCGGGGCCUGAGGCGCUCCAGACACACGUGUGCCAGCUGAACCAGUCGCCAUGGGAUGUGAUUCCUUUCGCUCAAGAGACUUGCCCAUCUUCGCUUCACCAGGUUACUUCAUCUCUCUUUAUUUCUCAUUUUUUUGUUUAUAUUGUGACAGAUCUACCAAAACCCUCUUAGCUUUUCUCUCUAUUUAUCUUCCCUCUACCUGCAUUUUCUCUUGCUCCUUCUAGGGUUUUUCGAGUAUGCAGUCUUUGGGUUUCAUUAAAACCCUAAAUUUUCUCGGUUUUGUCGUGUAUUUUCCUCCAAAUGGUCGAUUAGGUUAAUGGGUCUUCGUCAUUUCUUUCCAUUUUCUUCGGGUUCGGUUCUUACUCCUUGGCUUUUUAUUUUUCCAUCAGUUCGAAGGAGAAGAUAGCUUUAACGGAAAUGGGAGCUUAAAUGAUUCUAUUGGUGCUGUUGAGAGCAGCGUCGCGUCGUUAAUGGAAGAAGCAGAAGACAAGGCGGCGAUAAAGAUGAGGGUCGAUAACAUGGUCAUCGACGAUAAUUAUGAAAUGGAAGGGAUCCCAGAGAAGAAGAGAGUGUUCGACGAUUACGAAGAGAUGAAAAUAGUUAACGAAUUCAAGUUCAAGAAAGGCGAGAAAAUCCAGUGCUGCAACAAGACCGAUGGCAAGGGUUGGCAUUGUAAGAAUGAGCCAAGAGAAGGUCACUCUAUGUGCGACCAUCACUUGCUCAAAUCCUAUGCCAGCAACAAUAAUGUUACUUGCUGUCUUGGUCUCCCUACUAGUCCGUCCAGCAAGAAACAAGAUAAGGCUAUAGCUGGGGGUCGCCGUGGCCGGGCAAAAGCAGCCAAGAAAGGUUCAUCAUCUAGCUCGAAUCCUUACGAAUUUUAUUAUUAUUCUGGAUUUGGGCCACUGUGGGGGAAGAGGAGAGGGGAAGGGAACAAAAGCGGGGUUAAAGAAACUGAGAUUGACGGCAUUAGCAUUGCCGCUGUGUCCACAUCUCAAAAUACGACGCCGUCUUCUACGCUUUCGCCAAUUGAAAAUCACGAAGAGUUCGAUUAUGUGGAUGAGGACGAUAGCGAUAAUAGCGAUAGCGGGAAGAAGCGGAUGCGAAAACCAGUGAAAGCAAGAUCCUUGAAGUCCCUCAUGUAAAAAGAGGGUUUUGGGGACGGAGGGAA